UUAGUUCGUGGAGUGAUCUGUCUGCUUAAUUGCGUUUCACAAAGGGCUUUCUAACUCUCGCCUGUUGCGCGGCACAUGUCUCUCUGAGCUUGUGUCUGUGCACGGCGGGAAAAAAGUCCUGAAGGCAACGAACGUGACCGCAACCUCUUGUUGCCUCCUGCCUCAUCUUGAGGCCAUGGCACGCAUUUUGUACACCAGUACAUGGCUGCCUGCAUGGAGUUUUUUGCAAACUAGAGGGACCGCUGACAACUUUUAAAACAGAGGAAGGUUGCGGCAAUAACAGGU
rnacentral:rRNA from 1 species